rnacentral:rRNA from 1 species
UACGGGGGGGGCAAGCGUUGUUCGGAAUUACUGGGCGUAAAGGGCCAGUAGGCGGCCAACUAAGUCGGAUGUGAAAUCCCCAGGCUCAACUUGGGAACUGCAUCCGAUACUGGAUGGCUUGAAUUCGGGAGAGGGAUGCAGAAUUCCCGGUGUAGCGGUGAAAUGCGCAGAUAUCGGGAGGAACACCUAUGGCGAAGGCAGCUUGCUGGGACGGUACUGACGCUGAGACGCGAAAGCGUGGGGAGCAAACAGG